CAUCUGCUGAAAGAAGUGGCUCAGGCCCUCUCCAUGACAACUGCCGACGCAGAAUCCACAGAGCUCUGGACAAUGGGACAAACCAUAUUUCUAUGAACAAAGCCAAGGAAUCUGAUGGACAAGAGAAUCCAGAAUCUCUGCAAUGGGCAGAAGAGAGGACCAGACUUCAUGGUUGAUCUCCCCACAGACCAUACCAACAGGGCAAAGCCCUUCUACUGUCAUUGGAGUAUAUUGACCCAUCCCUGACAGAAAGUCUGUGUAAGCCCGAGGAGGAGGAACAUGCCGCAAACCUGCUGCAGAGCAUUAACAAGAACAGAAUUAAAAAGGAUCACUUCUGGGACUCAUCACACAACUUGGAAAUCAUGUUCAAUAAAAGAAAAGAUAAUUUGGGGCCACACUACCUGAAAUGAACAUCUGACACUCAGUCACUGGUCUGGAUUUAGAAAACUGCUUUGAUCCCCGGAGGGAAGAUUGUUAAUGAGUAUUUUAAAGGACAAGAUUGGCGAAGCAUGAUAGAGUGGAAAAGGGUACUGAUUUUGAAGGGUCCCAGUCUUGCUUCCACUUCUGUAAGCAAGUAGAACUGACUUUGAACAAGACACAUUACACUGCCCUGAGAAAACGUCCUCAUCUCUAACAUGGGAGGUGAAGUUAACCCUCUAGUCCAUCCAACAAUCAAAUCUAGGCCUUAAUGACUAUGAAAACAUGGGAAAAAAUUUAAAACAAGAGCAGGUAAUGCUUGCACCUUUUCGCUACCUGAAAGGAAGGUCAGACAACCUUAGUAUAAAAGGUAACUUUUCUUACUUGCAUGCUAACAAUCAAUGCAUAAUUUACAUAGCAAUGCAUACACUUUAUAUAGUUCAAGAGAUCAUCGUUGACUGCCUGAACUUGAUAUGCUUCAUCCUUGUCAUGUCCUCCUCACUAAAUACUAACUACCCAAAGUGAUCAAACCCCAAAUGUAAAAAUAAUCAUCUGAUAAAUCACAGACAACAAGGAGGUGAAAAAAAGAACUCAGUCAAACAUUUUUGAGUUCAUAAAAAAAUUGAAUAGCAU
rnacentral:lncRNA from 1 species